GGGGCUGUAUUGGUUUUGACAGCAUAGGUUACGGUAGGUGUAAGCAUGCAGUGCGUUGUAUCAUUAGCACUUAAAUCUGAAGAUUCAAACAUUAAAUGGCAAUACUCAGUAUGCCAUGGCUGCCUAAUCAGUGAUUAGUUAGUCAUUAGGGCCGCGUUGAGCCGGUUGUUCUGUUGCCACGCUCCGCCGCCGACUCAAAAAACAAAUACAGAAUGCUGUAAUGGAAGGCUGUGACCAUUGCAAAAGACUAUGCAGCUAAGCGCAGGGUCGGUUUGUUCAUUUCCUGCUUUGUGCCGACAAAUAAUAAUGGAAUAAGCAUGUAGAAAGCUUAUGGUAAUUGUGUUUGGACAGGGGUUCGAGUCCCCUCAGCUCCACUA
rnacentral:tmRNA from 1 species